rnacentral:rRNA from 13 species
AAUGACAGUACCUGGUAAAGAAACCCCGGCUAACUCCGUGCCAGCAGCCGCGGUAAUACGGAGGGGGUUAGCGUUGUUCGGAAUUACUGGGCGUAAAGCGCGCGUAGGCGGACAUUUAAGUCAGAGGUGAAAUCCCAGGGCUCAACCCUGGAACUGCCUUUGAUACUGGGUGUCUUGAGUUCGAGAGAGGUGAGUGGAAUUCCGAGUGUAGAGGUGAAAUUCGUAGAUAUUCGGAGGAACACCAGAGGCGAAGGCGGCUCACUGGACCGAUACUGACGCUGAGGAGCGAAAGCGUGGGGAGCAAACAGGAUUAGAUACCCUGGUAGUCCACGCCGUAAACGAUGAGAGCUAGUUGUCUGG